rnacentral:rRNA from 1 species
UUGGAAUUCCUGGUGUAGCGGUGGAAUGCGCAGAUAUCAGGAGGAACACCGAUGGCGAAGGCAGAUCUCUGGGCCGUAACUGACGCUGAGGAGCGAAAGGGUGGGGAGCAAACAGGCUUAGAUACCCUGGUAGUCCACCCCGUAAACGUUGGGAACUAGUUGUGGGGUCCAUUCCACGGAUUCCGUGACGCAGCUAACGCAUUAAGUUCCCCGCCUGGGGAGUACGGCCGCAAGGCUAAAACUCAAAGGAAUUGACGGGGACCCGCACAAGCGGCGGAGCAUGCGGAUUAAUUCGAUGCAACGCGAAGAACCUUACCAAGGCUUGACAUAUACGAGAACGGGCCAGAAAUGGUCAACUCUUUGGACACUCGUAAACAGGUGGUGCAUGGUUGUCGUCAGCUCGUGUCGUGAGAUGUUGGGUUAAGUCCCGCAACGAGCGCAACCCUCGUUCUAUGUUGCCAGCACGUAAUGGUGGGAACUCAUGGGAUACUGCCGGGGUCAACUCGGAGGAAGGUGGGGAUGACGUCAAAUCAUCAUGCCCCUUAUGUCUUGGGCUUCACGCAUGCUACAAUGGCCGGUACAAAGGGCUGCAAUACCGUGAGGUGGAGCGAAUCCCAAAAAGCCGGUCCCAGUUCGGAUUGAGGUCUGCAACUCGACCUCAUGAAGUAGGAGUCGCUAGUAAUCGCAGAUCAGCAACGCUGCGGUGAAUACGUUCCCGGGUCUUGUACACACCGCCCGUCAAGUCAUGAAAGUCGGUAACACCUGAAGCCGGUGGCCUAACCCUGUGGAGGGAGCCGUCGUAGAAGAUGACGAGCCCGCCC